GAGACUCUGUGCGCGUGCAUAUCAAUAAGCGGAGGAAAAGAAACUAACAAGGAUUCCCUUAGUAACGGCGAGUGAAGCGGGAAGAGCUCAAAUUUGAAAUCUUCAAGGUUCUACCUUGACGAAUUGUAGUUUAUAGAAGUGUUUUCUGUUAGUAGAGUGGCAAAAGUUCUUUGGAAUAGGACAUCAUAGAGGGUGAGAAUCCCGUAUUUGGUCAUUCCUUCCUAGCGUUGUGAUACACUUUCAACGAGUCGGAUUGUUUGGGAAUGCAGUCCAAAAUGGGUGGUAAAUUUCAUCUAAAGCUAAAUAUUGGCGAGAGACCGAUAGCGAACAAGUACCGUGAGGGAAAGAUGAAAAGAACUUUGAAAAGAGAGUUAAACAGUACGUGAAAUUGUCAAAAGGGAAGCGUUUGACACCAGUGUUGUUUUUCUCGAAAAUCAAUUAACGAAUGGUUUGUUUUUGAGAGUUAUGACUUCAUCGGCUUGCUUCUCUCUUUACGAAACUUUCUUAUGCACUUUUCGGUUAACAAGUCAACAUCAAUUUCUUUUGUUGUAAAAGGGUAUGAGGAAGGUGGCUUUCUUUUCGGAGAAAGUGUUUAUAGCCUUGUACCUCUGCAAUCGGAGAGAUUGAGGUCUGCAGCGUAGAUCCUUCGGGGUUAGAUACAUUUGUGCUAAGUUAUAGCUUUUCAUAGACAACUUGUUGACUAUGUUAAGUCUUGUAGCUUACUCGCUUAUGCUAUUUUACCUACGCUUAGGAUGUUGAAGAUGUAGCACAUCAU
rnacentral:rRNA from 1 species